rnacentral:lncRNA from 1 species
CGGCGAGCUUUUUACCCGGGCGGCCUCUCAACCCUAGGUCAGCGGGUUGCGGAGGAUCGUGCGGGUAGCAAAGGGAGGGCGAGUGCUCCUGCGGCCCCAGACGGCAACCAGGAUCUAAUUCAGGAUCCCACAUUGUAUUUGUCAUAUCUCCUUAGGCCCUUUCAAUCUGGGACAGUCCUUUUGUCUUUCAUGUCUUUGGAAACUUUUGAAGAGUCCUGGCCAGAACAUACAUCAUUGUUAGAAUCAUCACCCUGCAGCUAGCUUGGACACCAUUAAAAGGGCUCAUCAACUGCAAACGGAUAGAAGUAUCUGAUAUUCGUGAAGACAGAGUUUCAGGGCUUCUGCCUGGAGCUACACUCUCCAGAAGCCCCUGCUUGGCCUCUCUGCACCCAACCCCACCCCAACCAGUCACAGCUUGGGUCGUGUGUGGUGUUUCUUGGCAACUGGAAAACAGACUCCUCCAGCAGCUCCACAGGCCCCUUGUCCUCACUGAGCAGAAGACUACAGAAGCUGGCUACUGAAGAAGCUGUCCAAGUCUUAGAGCUCCUCCUUGGCCCUGCUUAGCACACUUACCACAGAGCAGUAACCGAGUGCUGGCUGUUACUCAUUUGCGCUUACUACCUGCAGGGACUUCAGAGGGAUUUGUCAGACCCCAUUUCACCCUAAGGCCACUCCCUAAGAAUCUCCACAGGAGGCUACCCAUAGAGAGAGGUGGCUUGCCUAGGGUCUCCACUGCCUUAGGUCAUACGUGGACACUUCCAGGGCUAAGGGGAUUAAUAUCUUUUUGCCUACCUGUAACCCACAUAUCCAUUGGAAAAUUCUGCCUCCUGCUAUUUUCUGUUCUUUUAUUUGUUUUUUGGUAGGAAGAGUUUUAACUACUUCUUCAGUUCCUUUAAUAGUUGGAGGAUUAUUCAGGAUUUCUUUUUCUUCUUGCGUUAAUUUUGGUAAGUUAUAGUUUUCUAGGAAUUGGUCCAUUUUGUCUGUGUUCUCAAACUUGUCGGCAUAAAGUUUCCUUGUUUUUUUGUUCUCUGUUCUAUCUGUAGUUAUGUCUCCUUUUUCAUUGCUGAUAUUGGUUAUUUGUGCUUUCUCACUUUUUUUCUUGAUCAAUCUCUCCAGAGGUUUGUCUAUUUUAUUAGUCUUUUCAAAGAACCAGCUUUUGGCUUUGUUGCUCCUCUCUAUUGUGUCUUUGUUUUCUAUUUCUUUAAUUUCUGCUCUUAUCUUUUUUGAUCUCCUUCCUUCCACAUUUUUUGGAUUUAUUCUGUUGUUCUUUUUCUAAUUUCUUAAAUUGGGCACAGAGCUCAUUAAUUUUUGUGCAUUUAAGGACAUAACUUUCCCUCUAACUACUGCUUUUCUUCAAGUUCAGACAUGUCGUAUUUUAUUAUUGUUCGGUUCCAAGUACUCAGCAUUUCCAUCGUGGUUACUUCUUUGACCUGCGAGAAGUGUGUUUCUAAAUAUUUGGAGAUUUAAAAUUUUACCUCUUUGUUAUUGAAAUUUGUCUUAAUUGCAUUAUGAUCAGAGGAUGUGAUCUGUGUGAUAAAAGCUCUGAAAUUUAUUGAGACUUGUUUUAUGGCUUAGUACGUGAUCAGUAUUUUUGAAUGUUUCCUAUGUGAUUUAUAAGAAUGUAUGUUCUCUAAUUGUUGAAUACAGAGUUCUACAUAUGUCUAUUAUCAAGUUUGUUAAUUGUAUUGUUCACAUUUUCUAUAUCUACUGAUUUUCGGGGGGUCGUACUAUACCAUGAAUUGUAAGGUGUGUUAAUAUUCAGUUCUGAUGGUGGAUUUAUCUGUUUCUUCUUGUAAUUCUCUUUUUCUUUACAUGUUUUGAGGGUAUUUUAUUAGGAAUAUUCAAAUCAAGAAUUGUUAUAUAUUCCUGCUAAACAUGUAUGACGUUCUCUAUUCCUGAUAAUGCAUUUUUCCUUGAAGUCUAUUGUAUCUUACAGUAAUAUAGAAACACAGACUUUUCUCCUGUUAGGAUUUGUGUUACUUUGAAACAUUUUCAUGCCUUAAUACUUUAAUUAUGUCUCUUGGGAAUGGCAUACAGCUGGACCUUUUAAAAAUCGAAUCUAAUGCUCUCUAUCUUUUAAUGGGCAAGUUUAGUCUGUUUACAUAUAUUGUGAAAUAUUUGGAUUUUUCUCUACCGUCAUAGUUUUUUAUUUCUAUUUCCUACCACCACCUUUGUGAUGCUUCAUUUUUCUCUUUUUUUGCCUGCUUUUUUCAUUUGUUUGUUUCCUUAUUCUAUUUUUUUCCUCAUUGCGGUUUGGAAUUUACCUGUUCUUUUCCCAUUAUUUCUGUGGUUAUCCUUGAGGUUUUGCUGUGCACAUAUAAGUUUUUAAGUUAAAACAGUGCUGGAGUUCCCAUCAUGGUGCAGUGGAAACGAAUCCGACUAGGAACCAUGAGGUUGCGGGUUCGAUUCCUGACCUUGCUCAGUGGGUUAAGGAUCCGGCAUUGCCAUGAACUGUGGUGUAGGUCGCAGACAUGGCUUGGAUCUAAUGUGGCUAUGGCUGUGGUGUAGGCCUGCAGCCGUAGCUCCAAUUCGACCCCUAGCCUGGGAACCUCCAUGUGCCAUGGGUAUGGCCCUAAAAAACAAACAUAAAUCAAUCAAUCAAUAAAGUUAAACAGUACUUUAACAUCCUUCUUGAAUGCGAGAAGCUUAGAAACAUUCAACUCUAGUCAUUCCUCUCUUGGACCACGUGUUAUUUUUUUGAGUAUAUUUAUUUCCUCCCUUUCCCCCCCUAACCUCACAAAUUCUAUAUCAUCCUUAGUAUUAUUUUAUGUAGAUGGUGUGUGUUUGGAUUUUCAUGCAUAUAUUCUUGCAUCUCAGACCAUCAUUCUGGGAUCAUUUUCCUUCAUUAUGAAUACAGUGUUGAGAUGCCCUUUUAGUACAGAUUUGUUGGUGUUAAAUUCUCCCAGUCUUUAUUAUAUGUAAAUGUCUUUAUUCUAUACUCAUUCUUAAAAGAUAGAUUGUUAUAGGUAAUAUUAGAAGUCCAUUGUCAGUCUAAUUACUAUUUUUGUAGGUGUUUUUGUUUUCUGGGUAUUCUCAAGGUCUCUCUCUCUCAUGGAGGAGAAUGUUCAGGGGGUUCUGCACUUUCAUUCUAUUAGUGUUUCGGUAUGUAUUUCUUUUUUAUUUAUUGUACUUUGGAAAUGUGCUUCAUGCCUCUGGAUUCAUGUUUUUCAUAAUUUCUAGAAAGUUCUCAGUCAUUAUCUCUUCAAAUAUUGCCUUUCCUCCAUUAUUUCUAUGUUUUCUUUCUCAGAAUUCAGUUAGUCAUAUUUUGCAUCUCUUCAUUCUAUCUUCCAUAUCUCGUAACAUCUCAUUGAUAUUUUCUAUCUUGUCUUCUUGCACUUCAUUGUGGACAAUUUCUUCAGAUAUAUCUUUCAGCUUAUUGAUUCUCUCUUCAGCUGUGUCUGAUCUGCUGUUUAAUCUGUCCACAGAAUUUUUUAUUUCAACAAUGGUAUUUUUCAUUUGUACAGCCUUCAUAUAUUUCACUUACCAAUCUGCCUGGUCAUCUCUUAAUAGUUUCUUGUUGCUUGCUCAUCUUUGUGGUUGCCUCUGUUAUUUCUUUAAACAUUUUAUACAAUUUUUGUUCAACCAGUGUCACUGUUUGCCUGAGUAUGGCAUUGUAAAUAUUGUUCACAUCCAGACUACAUAGUACAGUCUAAUGACAUAUCCUUUGUUACAUACCUUUUUGUUUUCCUAGUAAUUCCCUCGUUUUUUUGGUUUGUUUUUUUUUUCUUUUGCCUAGUGUUCUAAUACCAUUACUAGGUCUUCUCUGAAAUUCUUUUAAAAAUCCCUAUCAGGCUGUGUCCCUCCUCUGCUCAAAAUUCUCCCAUAACUCCCAUCUCCCUCAGAAUAAAAGCCAAAGCUCUCACCAUGGCCCCAAAGUUUCUACACAAGCUGGUCCCCAUAACCUCUCUGACCUGGCCUCAUAUCACUCUUCCCAUCACUCACUCUUCUCCAGCCACAUUGGCCUCCUUGCUGUCCCUUAAACAUGCCAGAUAUCCCCCCUCUUCAGAGCCUUUGUACUUGCUGUUAUCACUGUCUGGAACACUCUAAAUUGUAGAUAAUCUGAUGACUUGCCCACCCACUUCUAGUAUGCUCAAAUGUCACCUCCCUCGAGAAGCAUUCCCUAACCACCAUAUCUAAAAUAACCCCAUUCACCAGCACUUUCAUCAUCCCCUUAUCCUAUUUAUGGCUUAUGUUUUUCUGCAGAGCACUGAUCACCACCUGAUAUAUUUAUUUAUUUAUUGUGAUUAGUGUUUGUCUGUCCCCAAUAGACUGUAAGCUCCACAAAGCAGGACUCUUGUUUUUGUUCUUUGCUGUAUCCCCAGUGCCGAGAACAGUGCAUAGUAAUAUUGAGUAGAUACUCAAUAAAUAUUUGUGGAAUAAA